rnacentral:lncRNA from 1 species
UCAAGAUCGGGCCUUGUCCAACCGAAAUGCUGGGAACAUGAGAAACAAAAAGUCAUCAUGAAUUCAAGCUACUCACAAUGUCCAAAUAACUCCAGCUGUGUCGAAGAAUUUGAGUCAUACUGAGACUGAUUCUCCCUCACGAGAAAAGGAUACACAGGAUUUCGAUUGUCACUGCCAAACAUCUUCCUGGAAAUCCGAAAAUUAAUCGUUAGUAAUUCACAGUGGCCGAUGUGCAUUCAAGACAAAUGGAAAAAAUAGGCAAAAAAACUCUCGGAACAUAAGUCUUCUUGAGACAGAGUAGCAACUGAUUACUUGAUCAAACGGCCAUAGAUUGUAUUACUGAAAGCAGAAGAACUAGCACAGGAGGAUUCAAGACAUCAAGAGUUUGUGAUUUAAAGCCUGGUAUCCUAAGAAGCAACGCCUACGCAUACAUAUAUAUAUAUAUAUAUAUAUAUAUAUAUAUAUAUAUAUAUAUAUAUAUAUAUAUAUAUAUAUAUAUAUAUAUCAGGAUGGGUGUUUAAAUGAGAGGUCAGAAGUCUAGCUCAAGUCAGAAUCAACAAAAACGGAAGGCUCUGCCGCCUGUUGUUCAUUCAGUCUAUAUGUUCAAAUUUGUGUAUAUAUAUAUCUACAUAUUCCCACAGCCCGAACGUUAAGCGCCUAUCAAUCAACAGAUGAAUCAAAGGCAAACGAUGGUGGACUAGAGAAACUGGGGACGCCCAAGGAUAAUCAGUAAGCGUAGUAAUUCCUUCAACUUCAAAGAAAAAAAUGAAACCGCUUUCGUUUCCCGAUUCGAAGGUUUAUAUUAUCUCAAAGCUUUGGACGAUCCUCGCACUACUUCAAAGAAAAGGCGGAUGCUCCCGCAAGACCCGCACUCGAAGGGAAGCAGAGAGUCAUCCAUGCGGCCCCCAUGGAACCAGCAAUUAAGGAAUAGAUAGCACGAGAUAAGGACCGAUUCAAUCGCAAACGAAUGAAACUCUCCGGAAAACACACUCCCAAC